rnacentral:rRNA from 1 species
AGAGAUAGAAAGUUAACUUCGGUACAUCGGUGACAGUGGUGCAUGGUUGUCGUCAGCUCGUGUCGUGAGAUGUUGGGUUAAGUCCCGCAACGAGCGCAACCCCUAUUGUUAGUUGCCAUCAUUCAGUUGGGCACUCUAGCGAGACUGCCGGUAAUAAACCGGAGGAAGGUGGGGAUGACGUCAAAUCAUCAUGCCCCUUAUGACCUGGGCUACACACGUGCUACAAUGGUUGGUACAACGAGUUGCGAGUCGGUGACGGCGAGCUAAUCUCUUAAAGCCAAUCUCAGUUCGGGUUGUAGGCUGCAACUCGCCUACAUGAAGUCGGAAUCGCUAGUAAUCGCGGAUCAGCACGCCGCGGUGAAUACGUUCCCGGGCCUU